GCCGGGUAAGAUUCACAGGUGUGGCUCUAGAUUACCACACUUGUCACAAUUACCCGGAGAAAAAUGUUUGCCUUCUGAUGACCAUGUUGUGCUAAGGUAUCCAACAUGGACAGAUACGGGGCACACACGC